UGGACUUCCGGAGUGCUGUGCUGUUCUGGGGUUCUGGGGAGGGUGUGGCUGGUCAGAGGUUACAGUCACACCGAAAAUUAAACGCUGUCACCUCCAGUUAUGAGCCGCGCUUUUUGUCAGAUUCUGUUACUCUUGUACGGGGGACCCUACAGGAUGUUGUACAUUGCAGAAAAUCCAGCACACUGGCACCCCUUACAGAAGAAACUGGAAAUGGCUGUGCAGCGAUCUCAACGGCCAAGGUUACCCAAGAAGCAGUUUGCUGUACUCAUAAAUGUCUGGAAGCUGAUGGCCACCACUUUGCACACCUCUUGUAAUUGUAGAGGCAAAAGGCGAGAGCCUGUUGCUCUUUUGCUGAGCAAAUCACCUUGACGCAGCAAAAUGUCAUCAUCCAAAAGCAG
rnacentral:lncRNA from 1 species